rnacentral:tRNA from 1 species
UUUCCUGUGGUGCAACGGUAGCACAUCUGAUUUUGGUUCAGAUAAUCGUGGUUCGAAUCCACGCAGGAAAA